rnacentral:rRNA from 1 species
CCGCAUACGCCCUACGGGGGAAAGAGGGGGACCUAUCGGGCCUACUACGCGAUUGGAUAGAACCUAGGUAGGGAUAUAGCUAGUUGGUAGAGGUAAUAGGCUCACCAAGGCGACGAUCCCUAGCUAGUUCUAGAGAGGAUAGAUACAGCCACACUAGGGACUAGAGACACGGCCCAGACU